rnacentral:rRNA from 1 species
GGCAAAACUCAAAAAAUAGANCUCAGUUCGGACUGUAGGCUGCAACUCGCCUACACGAAGUUGGAAUUGCUAGUAAUCGUGGAUCAGCAUGCCACGGUGAAUACGUUCCCGGGUCUUGUACACACCGCCCGUCACACCAUGGGAGCUGGUAACACCCGAAGUCAGCAGUCUAACCGCAAGGAGGACGCUGCCGAAGGUGGGAUUAGCGACUGGGGUGAAGUCGUAACAAGGUAAC